GGACAUUAAACAACAAGUAUUACAUCUAAUUGGCUUUGUAUCUUUGAGAUGGACAGACCAGAAGUUGACCUGGACCCCGGGCAUGUAUGGAGGUAUAGAUCAUCUAUUUGUCAGACAAAAUCAAGUCUGGAAGCCAGAUAUAGCAGUCAUCAACUCUGUUUCAGACAAAGUGUAUGUAGGGGAUAAAGAAGUUCUGGUCGUUGUGACAUCUAACGGCAGUGUCACGUGGGAGCCAGUCAUAAACAUGCAAGUCACGUG
rnacentral:sRNA from 1 species